rnacentral:lncRNA from 1 species
AAAAAGCAACUCACUAGCUAUACAACUUUUUGACAGAUUACACUGUUCUUGAAAAACCGUUUAGAAGAAAGCAGAUAAGAGUUUUCUUAGGUGCAAAAGUUGAUUAAACUUUAGGAAGCAAGUGUUUUUGACCAGUAUAAAGAAAAUAAGAGUAAUGUGUGGGGGUGUGUGUGUGUGUGUGUGUGUGUGCGCGCGCGUGCCUGCGGCUAAAGUUUGGGAAGAAAUGUUGGUUCAGAGUUAAGGUUUAAGUUGGAAAGGCCAGUGGAGGAGGCUCCCUGCCUUGCAGAACUGCUGGGUAUUGUCACUGCUUGCCUCUUCAGCUUUUAUAUGCAGGUGAAGCUCGUGUGUGGAGUGCCACGGUACAAUCAGACGACAGAUGGACAGUGUGACAAAAGUGUCAGAAAGGAUUGGGCCUCGCUGUGAGAGUCAGCCUGGAUUCAAAGUGUUGACAAGUUGCUGAAAAGGAAGCCAGUGAGAGGACUGUGGCACGCAGAGGAAGUGGAGCCCUGUCUUCGGUCACACCAUUGAUGGAGGACAGAUGGACAGCCGUAUGGCCAGUCACCUCUCCUCUUAAACCUUUGGAGAG